rnacentral:lncRNA from 1 species
GUAAGUUAUAGCUGGUAUUGGCUAAUUUGUGUAUUUUUCUUUUUCCUACCUUUCUAUCACUAGAUAGGAGAGAAGGAAGGAUAGAGAAGGGAGAGAAAGCUAGAGCUCUCUGAAUCUAAUUUUUUUCCUUUUUUUUCUUCUUUGAGCACUACUACAAACAAACCACAACCAACCCCCCCAGAUGAGCACCAACCAUCCCACCACACAUUUAUCUGGGCCCUAGCAUUUAUAUACCCUCUGAAAAGUUCCGAGAAUUCCAAAUGUCAAACAAUUGCAGACACUAUCUGCAGCUGGCAAAAACCACACCUCUGCUAGAGCCUGAGGCAAAUCAUAGUGGCUAUAGACAGUUGGAAGCAGCUGCAUAUCCCAAACCUAGCAUUAAAACAAAAACAUAUUCUUAUGAUAUUUCUGUUUCUUAAACAAAAAUUCCAGAAUUAUCACUUCAGUAAGAAGGGUUUUUUUGUUUUGUUUCUUUGUUUUUUUUUGUUUUUGAUUUGUUGGUGGGAUAUUAAUGGAUGCUUUCCUUAAAUUCAUGUGGCUGUUGUUUGUACUGUGCUGUUUUGUGCAAAGGUCAGCAGUAAGAGCUUGUACUAAGCUGGGCAUGGUGGCACAUGCCUUUAAUCCCAGCACUCAAGGGGCUAGCCUGGCCUAGAAAGCCAGUUCCAGACAAAGAAAUGAUGUCUCAGGGGAAAAAAAAAGAUCUGUGAGCUCACUCCACAUCAGUUUGAUUUGGAUGGCCUUUAUGGAGCACAUCCUGCCUUAUUUUUAUCCUUAAACUGGAUGGAACUAUGUAUCAAUAAAUUUGAUUUACACAUAUUUACAUACAUUUACAUAUAUGUAUAUCAUACAUGUAGAAUCACAUAUAUAAUGUUUUAUAUACAUAUAUAAACACAUAUGUAAAUGUAAGAAAGUAUGUCCCUGUGGCUAAGUUUUGCUGUCUUAUUUCUACAGGUUAUUUGUGUGUGUGUGUGUGUGUGAGAGAGAGAGAGAGAGAGAGAGAGAGAGAGAGAUAGAUCUUAGAGUUGUAAAAUACUAUGUCUAAAAGCAGCUUUGGGAGGAAAGGAUUAAUUUCAACUCUGAUCACACCCCAUCACUGAAGGAGGCCAUGGCAGAAACUCAAAGCAGGAAGCUGGAGGCCAGAACUAAAGCAGAGGCCAUAUCAGAAUGCUGUUUACUGGGCUGCUUCCCAUGGUUUUCUAAGCCUGCUUUCACUUUCCUUUUGUUGUUGCUGCUGCUGUUGUUUUGUUUUUUAUUUUUUGAGACAGGGUCUCUAUUAUAUAUAGCCCUUGCUGUCUAGUCCUUAACAUAGGUUAUUGCUCUCUUAAUAUUCUUGCUUGAAAUGUGUUCGUUUUUGAGAAAGGAUCUUUCCACAUAGCCCUGGCUGGCCUGGAACCUUCUAUAUAGACCAAACUGGUCUUGAACUCACAGAAAUCUGCCUGCCUCUGCAUCACAUGUAGUGGGAUUAAACUCAUGCACCGCCAAGCUUUGCUCAGCCUGUUUUCUCAAACCACCCAGGACCACUUGUCUAUGAGUAGCACCACCCAUAAUGUGAGGGCCCUCCCACAUCAUUCAUUCUUUAAUCAAGAAAAUGCCCCAUUUGCUUGGAUAUAUGGCAAUAUUUUCUUCUUCUUUUUUAUUUUUUUAUUUUUCGAGACAGGGUUUCUCUGUGUAGCCCUGGCUGUCCUGGAACUCACUUUGUAGACCAGGCUGGCCUCAAACUCAGAAAUCCGCCUGCCUCUGCCUCCCGAGUGCUGGAAUUAAAGGUGUCUGUCACCACGCCUGGUGGCAAUAUUUUCUUAAUUGAGGUUUCCUCCCCUCAGAUGAUUCUAGAUUGUAUCAAGUUGACAAAGUACUAAUCAGCAUGGGGUUGGGGAGAGUGUGUGCAUUCUGAGAUUUGAACUCAGAGCCUCGUGCAUACUAGGUAAGUGCUUGGUUACUAAGCCUCCCCUGGCCACAUGAUUGUGCUUAAUUGGCAUAUACACAAAAAUCAUCACCACACAUCUCCAUUUAUCUUUUCACCAUUCAGGAAAACUAGUGAGGGGCUCCUACCUGUUGUUGGAGUACCCAUUGUGAGCCAGUCCCAUGAGAGAACCGAACAAGUUCAGUUCACAUGGCUAGUUUCAGUUAAGAUGUUUCUCUCGUAUAAAGAGCCAUGGACUAGAGAACUUAUGAAACAAAAAGAAUGUGUAUUGUCUUAAUACCUUUUUAUAUUUAUUAUAUACUUAAGAUAAAUGACAUUUUAUAAGUACUCCUUUGUACCCAAGUAAUUUUUGGGCUAGGGCUAAAAGCUGAUCUAGCAUAUAUGAGGUCUUAGAUUCAAUCUCUAGUCCUGCCAGUUUUAAAAAAAUAUAUAUAAGUAAUAGUUUAUUAACAUGGUUUCUAGAGAUUAGUUCUGUUAUAUGAGAUCAUUGUAUAGUGGUUAUUGAGUAUGGAUUGUGUGCCCUUGGUGGGGUGCAGGGUGACCAUAAUACAGUGUGUUUGGGACAUGUCUCUAGUAGAGACAGCUUCCAAAGAGUCCUCCUACUAAACCAUCAACCAAAGAAUGCACAUGGAGGUACUCAUGGCUCUAGCUGCAUAUGUAGCAGAGGAUGGUCUAGUCGGACAUCAAUGGGAGGACAGGCCCUUGGUCCUGUGAAGGUUCUAUGCCCCAGAAUAGGGGAAUGCCAGGGCCAGGAAGCAGGAGUGGGUGGGUUGUUGAACAGGGGGAGGGGCAGGGGAUAGGGCUUUUUCAGAGAGGAAAACAGGAAAGGGGAUAACAUUUGAAAUGUAAAUAAAAUGUAAAUAAAGAAAAUAUCUAAUAAAUAAAAC